rnacentral:rRNA from 1 species
GUCGUAACAAGGUUUCGUAGGUGAACCCGCGGAAGGAUCAAUAUCAUUCACAACUCAAAAAAACUUACCAACCGUGUUUCCACUUUUCGUGCGGGUACUCCCAGUGCUCACAAAACACUUUUUCGAUCCACAUCCCACCAAUGGUUUUUGAACAAACACAAACAAACCAAAAUCCACCUUUCAACGAUGGAUCUCUUGGUUCGCGCAACGAUGAAGAACGCCGCGAAACGCGAUAUGUAAUGUGAAUUGCAGGAUUAAGUGAAUCAUUAAAUCUUUGAACGCAAAUUGCUGCUCCGGCCCUCGCGGUUGGAGCAUGCCUGGUUCAGACUCGAUAGUCAAUCUCAAAAUGCCAUAGACUUGUGAGUGGACGUUGCUGGUUCGCAUCGUCUCAAGAAUAAAAAAUGGCUUGCAACCCAUUAGCGUUCACAUGUGAUGCGCCGAGGUAGUCAAACACCAAGGUGCGUCAUGCUUCUGGGCGUAGCUCCUAGUAAUCGUGCUUUAGAGCUGAACUCAGGUAAGAGGACCCGCUGAAUUUAAACAUAUUACUAAGCGGAGGAAAAGAAACUAACAAGGAUUCCCUCAGUAACGGCGAGUGAAGCGGGAUCAGCUCAAUGUGAAAAUCUGCGUCCUCCGGGCGUCGAAUUGUGGUCUGGGUUUGGUUUCUUAACGGGCAUCGCGUGUAAUUCCUUGUUGAGACAGGGAGCCGGAGAGGGUCACAGCCCCGUCCCGUGCGAUAGCCCCCAACAGGAACCCUUCCCGUGAGUCGUGUUGCUUGGGACUGCAGCGCCAACCGGGUGGUAAUGUCCAUCCAAAGCUAAAUAUUUGCGCGAGACCGAUAGCGAACAAGUACCGUGAGGGAAAGAUGAAAAGAACUUUGGAAAGAAAGUGAAAUAGUACGUGAAAUCGUUGGAAGCAAGCGAACCGCUCUGUCUCCGCCUCGGUGGCCUCGCGCCACCAGGGUGGGCACGAUCGGUCUGGGCCCCGUCAGCAGGCACGCCACCGUCCUCGGACGCGGCAGUCGCCCAGCGGGCCCCAGGUCGAGGAUUCACGAGGAGCCCUGUCCCUCCGGGGGCAGCUCCUCCAGGAUCGUGCCGUCGACGGAGCGGUCCGACCCGUCUUGAAACACGGACCAAGGAGUCUGACAUGGGUGCGAGUGGUAGGGUGGCAAACCCUAGCGCGCAGAGAAAUCGAGAUAGCCCGAGCCUGUUAUAGGGCGCACGGCUGGCAGAGCGUUGUUCUUCUGUUCAGUGCCUAGCAAGAGCACUUAUGUCGGGACCCGAAAGAUGGUGAACUAUGCGUGA